UUUGUAGAAUGAACCGGCGAGUUACGAUAUGAUGCGAGGUUAAGUUGAAGAGACGGAGCCGCAGGGAAACCGAGUCUUAAUAGGGCGACUUAGUAUCAUGUUGUAGACCCGAAACCAUGUGACCUACCCAUGAGCAGGUUGAAGGUGCGGUAAGACGCACUGGAGGACCGAACCAGGGCACGUUGAAAAGUGCUUGGAUGACUUGUGGGUAGCGGAGAAAUUCCAAACGAACUUGGAGAUAGCUGGUUCUCUCCGAAAUAGCUUUAGGGCUAGCGUCGAUGUUAAGUCUCUUGGAGGUAGAGCACUGUUUGGGUGAGGGGUCCAUCUCGGAUUACCAAUCUCAGAUAAACUCCGAAUGCCAACGAGAUAUAAUCGGCAGUCAGACUGCGAGUGCUAAGAUCCGUAGUCGAAAGGGAAACAGCCCAGACCACCAGCUAAGGUCCCAAAAUAUAUGUUAAGUGGAAAAGGAUGUGGGGUUGCACAGACAACUAGGAUGUUAGCUUAGAAGCAGCUAUUCAUUCAAAGAGUGCGUAAUAGCUCACUAGUCGAGUGACCCUGCGCCGAAAAUGUACCGGGGCUAAAACAUAUUACCGAAGCUGUGGAUGACACGUUAGUGUCAUGGU
rnacentral:rRNA from 1 species